rnacentral:rRNA from 1 species
CUACGGGAGGCUCCAGUGGGGAAUAUUGCACAAUGGAGGAAACUCUGAUGCAGCAACGCCGCGUGGAGGAUGACACUUUUCGGAGCGUAAACUCCUUUUAUAUAGGAAGAUAAUGACGGUACUAUAUGAAUAAGCACCGGCUAACUCCGUGCCAGCAGCCGCGGUAAUACGGAGGGUGCAAGCGUUACUCGGAAUCACUGGGCGUAAAGAGGGUGUAGGCGGGUUAAUAAGUCAGAAGUGAAAUCCUAUGGCUCAACCAUAGAACUGCUUUUGAAACUGUUAACCUAGAGUGUGGGAGAGGUAGAUGGAAUUUCUGGUGUAGGGGUAAAAUCCGUAGAGAUCAGAAGGAAUACCGAUUGCGAAGGCGAUCUACUGGAACAUAACUGACGCUGAGACGCGAAAGCGUGGGGAGCAAACAGGAUUAGAUACCCCAGUAGUC